ACGAAGUGAAUCCGCAGCAUACGCUCCCAACCCAUCGGCGGACGACCGUUGCCGUGUUUCGGGUAAUAGGGUUCGAUUACCGCACACAGUUCGGUCCACGGAACGAUCGUGUUCAUCGUGUCAAGCAACUCGUCGCGUCGCGUGCGCUUGCGGCAAGUCUCGAACCCCGCACCUUGAUCCGCGGCCAUCGCCAGCGUCUGCUGCUUCAUCGUCGUUUGCCUUUCUCCUUGCACGUGCGCUCUAUAACACCUAACAAGCACAAGCGGUGGACUUAAUCAGCAUUGCCUUAAGUGGCCUGUCUCCUCGUGCACCUGCGCCCUUUGCGCACAAUGCGCGGAAAUGUUUUGCUUGUGAGCGCGAUAACCGGUGAAUACGUAAAGUAGAAACCAAGCUUAACACUGCAAUUUAUCGAUGCGUGGACGUUGGCCGAUUAAGCCGAUAUAGCGCAGAGUUAUACGUAAUUACCCGAAGUUAAUCGUAGCGGUUUGUUAUCCGGUCGAAGCACAUAGCACAAUUGAUGCCCAACAAAGCCAACCCAUGCCCAUGAAAAUCGCCAUUCUCGACGACUACCAGGACGCCGUUCGGAAACUGGAUUGCUUCCAUCUGCUCGACGAUCAGGAGGUGAGAAGAUAUUCAAUAACACGGUGCGCGGGCUGGACAGUUGGCUAGCAGACUGUCGGAAGUGGACGCGCUCGUGCUGAUCCGCGAACGCACGCGCAUCAGUUCGCAACUGCUCGACAAGCUGCCGAAGCUGCGCAUGAUCAAGACGGGCCGCGCGGGUGGCGGCCAUAUCGACAUCGAUGCCUGUACGGAAGGGGUAUCGCCGUACUCGAAGGCACCGGAUCGCCGUUCGUGCCGGCGGAACUCACGUGGGCGCUCAUCAUUGCGGCGCAGCGUCGCAUUACGCAAUACGUGGCGAAUCUCAAGCAGGGCGCAUGGCAGCAGUCGGGACUGAAGACCUCCGCAUUGCCACCGAACUUCGGGCUGGGACAAGUGCUGCGCGGGCAGACGCUCGGCAUCUGGGGCUACGGCAAGAUCGGUCAACUGGUCGUGGGAUACGGCAAAGCGUUCGGCAUGAACGUGCUCGUGUAUGGGCGCGAGCAUUCGCAACAGGCCGCGCGUGAAGACGGCUUCACUGUCGUUAAAAAUCGCUAGGCGUUGUUCGAAUAGAGCGAUGUGCUCAGCGUGCACUUGCGCCUGACCGACGAGACACGUGCCAUCGUGAAACAGGACGAUCUGAUGCGGAUGAAGCCCACCGCGAGUUCGUCAACACGAGCCGCAUGGAGUUGAUGGAGGACAACGCGCUGCACCACAACCGGCCGGGGAUGGUUGCCAUCGACGUGUACGAGAGCGAGUCGAUUCCGCAAGGCUAUGGCCUGUUGCACAUGGAGAACGUGAUCUGCACGCCGCACAUCGGCUAUGUGGAACGCGAGAGCUACGAGCUUUAUUCCAGCGCGGCGUUCAACAACAUUCUCGCCUUCGACGCGGACGAUACCUCGAGCGUCUUCAACAAGGACGCGCUUCAGCACGUGCGGCGCCGCUGAGCUUUGUCGCGAUGAUCAGACCGUCAAGAUAUCGAUCGACGGUUCGCAGCGUACCGGGAAAUUCACCGACUUCGCGAUGAAGCAGAAGCGAUGCGCCUCUUCAUGAAGGUGCUUCGCAGUUCCAUAUCGCCGCCCGCGCCGAUGCUCACGCGCGGCCGUAACAGCACAUCGACGAAGUGGCCAUCGCCCUUCGCUUCUUCCUGCAUGGUGCCGAUGGUGUCGUCGAUAUACCCGUCACCACGAUCCCGUUCGUCGCGCACAGGUGCAGAUACCACAGCAUGUGACACGACGACAGCGACGCGACGAACAGUUCCUCGGGAUUGUGACGCGCGGCAUCGCCGUGAAACGCGGGAUCGCUCGAUGCCUCGAUCGACUGGCACGUUGUCGACCAUGCCGCCAUCGAGGACGGGACGGCCGUUGCGUCGCAGGAUCGGCGUGAAGGGUGAAGUGGCCGACGAUUCAGGAUAAGAUCGGCCAAAUCCUCGAUACGCGCGCACUCCUGCGUCCGCACGAAUUCCGGAUGAAAACCGAGCGUCUGCCCGAGUGUCGGAUACAGCUUCUUGCGCACGUACUUUUCGAUGUUGUACGCGACGAUGCCGGCCGCCACGGCACUGCGCGCGCCGAGCCAGCGCGGCAGAUGCGACAGGCCGAUGCGAAUCUCCGGCGCCGUUUGCAGCGCCGCGAAGCGCUCGGCGAAGAUAUCGAGCAGCGCCUGCCGGUAAAUGCGGUAAUGCGGAAACACCGAUUGUCCGCGCAGCAGAUUGCCCCAAUAGGCGUUCUUCGUGUUGUCGCGCAGGACGUGGGCGUAGUAAUCCAUCACCCAGAUCCAUCACCCAGCGCGAUUUGUUAGUAGUAUAGAGUAUGCAGGCCGUGGCCGCCGGAAAUGGCCCGCGAUGAUGCGCAGCCUGAGAUUCAGUUCGGGCUGGACGAUGUCCCAGAAGCGGCGAUUGCCGCCGCCGGUGAAUACGACUUGGUCGAACAUUUACUUGUUGAUAAGCGCGUAAGUGGGGUGUGAGCGGCGAGCUCGUUCUGCGCGUCGCGCAGUUCGAUAUCGCCGAAGACGAGAUUGCGGCCGCGUCGCUGCACGCGCGCCGUGACGAGCACGUCGCCGGAUUCGACCGGGCGCAUGAAGGUGGUGUUCUCAGCGAGACGGUGGUCAUCGGGACGAAGCCGCCGAGCACGUGAGAGAUGGCGACGACCAUCGCGGUAUCGGCGGCCGCCAUCAAAACCUGUCCGCAAAUGACACCGCCCGCGUGACGCAGAUGCUCCGAGUAUGGGAGGCGGAGCGUCACGGCGUCGUCGUCGAUGGCCUCGGUGCGAGUUGCAGUUCGCGCACCCAUGGGGCGAGGAUGUCGUCGAGCAGGGCGCGGAUGGCUUGGUGGUCCAUUUUUCUGGUCUUUGGUUCAUGGCUGGAGUGGAAUGUACCACCAUGAUAGCGAGCCCGCGGUGGGUUUUCGUCUGCGCUCUUCCCGCUCGUCGCGCAAAAUCUCAAAAUUUAUGCCGAAAGUUCUUGCGCGUUUCGAAAAUGUCCCGCUAAAAUUUCCAAAAUUGUUUUGGGCGUUUUUCUAGUUUCUUGUUGGGGCGGUAGUUCUCUUUGUUG
rnacentral:tRNA from 1 species